rnacentral:lncRNA from 1 species
UUUUAUUCAACCAUUACAACAAUUCAAUUUCCAAAUAUGAACCAAAACCUACAUUACAUAAACCAAUUUCCAUCCAUAUUUUUAAACAUCCAAGCAUAACAUUUCAAGCAUACUAGCAUUGCCAUCAUACACCAACUCAUGGAAAAAAUAGCAUAGCACAUGUAUCAUACAUAAACAAGCCAUGUCAAAUGCAAUACAUAACCAAAAUCUAAUUACAUGUUAAUUUUCCAAUCAUCUAAGGCAUGGACAUAGAAACCACAUUACAAAUCCAAAUAGCCUAUACUAUACAUAAUAUUUUCCAUACAACCAUGACCAGAAGACUUAGCCUAGCACAUCACUAAAACAAUUCCAAAUAGGUCACCAAUACAAACAAGACCUAAACCUAACCUAACCAUAAUCAAAGCCUAAAACAGUCCAACAUUGAUCAACCAAGCAAUAUCAACCAAACCAUAGCCCUGCAGUAGCAUAAACCUCCACCAAAUCAAUCAUAAUCAUGCAGUAUGAUCCAAAAUUCUGCAGCAAGCAUGUGUACACAAUCAUCCACAAAUUGAGCCAACAAUUCCAGAUCAGCAUAUGUAGUUUAGUAGCCUGCACCAUGAAUGAACAAGGCAACCAGUUCACAUUAAGAACACAACAUUCGACUAACCUGACCUUACAACCAACCUGCAACAACCAUCAUUAUGCAGCAGCCUAUGCAUAUACAACCAUAUGCAAUCCUGUAUAACUCCAAAGUCCAGCAACAAUACCAAAAUCCUGUAGCAGAUGAAAAUAAGGAUCAAAACAUUAACACCAAAAUCACUCAUUGCAACAACCAACAUUCACUCUUGUGUAAUUUUUCAUAACAAUAUACCAAGCAGGGCCCUGUAUAUUUCAAUUAACAGUAAAUGAAUGAAUCUCACAAUAGCUAACCCAACGCAUUCACUAACAGGGAUUCAUAGUUCAGUUAGCCGAAAUUUGUUUUUCAACUGACCUCAUCUCAUUAACUAACUCCAUCAUUCAAACGUUAACUAAAUCCAAAUUAACAACUAACAGUUGCUAUCUCUAAGUGUUUCAUUCAAUUCCCUAACCGCAUAAUAACUAACUUCACAUCACAAAACUGACAAUUAAAUCUAACUACAAUUGUUCUAAUAACUCUAACAACUAACUGAUUCAACUUUUAACAAAAAAUUCAGCUAACCAAACUAACAAUCCUAACAGAAAUUUUGUUAACUCUAACUUCCAACUGAAUCAUCUAACUAACUAAUCUAACAGAGUCUUAACCUGCAUUUGAAUUUCAACCUGGCCAAUUAACAGAGUUUAGCUCUGUUAACCUCACAAUCCCUAUAAAUUCAUCAAGCCACUCAAAAUUUUCACAGAUCCAUCAUUUCAUCACGAUCUCCAUCAUUCACUAUAACUGAACCCAAUCAUUCAACACAUUCACUCUUCACCCUCUCUCGAAAUCAGAUUCAGAAGCUCGACCUCUCAACUCAGAGCAUUCAUAAUCUGCAUCUGACUCAAUCCUCACAUCAUUCACUCACACAAAAUCAGCAAUAAACAUAAAGAAGGAGAAGAAGAAGAGUAGAAUUUCGAAGGCAAUGAGGGGUUCAGAGAACAAGAAUCUUACCAGAAUUCCGCUGUUAGCUUCGACGUCUCCGAUAGCGUAAGUUUCUCUUUCAUCUUUUUGCGUCAACCGUGUUACCGAAAUGUGAACGAAGGUGAGGGGGAAUCAAAGUCCCAACCUCUUGGACUCCGAUUCCCCGUGGUGAACAUUUAAUUUACCUUUUUCAUAAUUAGGGUUCUUCGACGGCUUGCAUCGAUUUAGGUUUUAGAAGUGGAAUUAGAGAAAAAUGGACAUUGGAUUUGGAUAGAGUGCCUUGAAACAAGUUGAAUGAUGUUCUUAGUUUGAUUUUAGAGGGGGAUCUGCCGCCGUAGACAGCCUCCGACACGGCGGAGGGAGAAACUAGAACGGAGGAGAGAGAGACGAGUUUGAACGCAUGUGUGGUUGAAUUUGAGUUUCACUUUGCACGUUUGUCACGUGUUAUUUUCAUGUUAAACUCAUUAACUGACGUGGCCUACUGCUGACUGGAAUCCUAGUCAGAUUUUAUCCUUAUCCAUUUCCAGAUAUUGCCAUGCACUUGGUUUCUAAUUGGGCAACCUCUCCCUAACUGCGUGCAUUGGG